UACUAUCUGGAGAGAACGGUGCCUGGCUAUGACUCAUCAAGGACGGAUGUCAUCGUCCUGAUACUAGUCCUCCUCAUCUGCUGCUGCUUGUGCUACCUCUGGUAUUCGAGCAACCAACAGAAUGUUCCACCACACGGUGUUGGCUACCAACCAGUAAUAAACCAGCCGGCAGCCUACCCAAGUGCACCGCCUCUAGCUCCCAACCCACUCGGCAACCCUCCACCUUACAACUUGCGCUUCUGUUCGGCAUGCCAACAUCCUCACACAGCCUACGUGACGCCAGCUCAAAUUGUGAACGAACUGCCCCCGCCAAAAUGUCACAUUCACGUCCUGGACACGCACGGUUCGCCAAAUGACAAAUGCAGCACUCCUGGGGACAAGAGCAAUCCGCGUGAUAUUACGUCUACAGGUGAGCCCCGAAUUUAGGCAUUUGCAUAGUAGUUCAUAUUUUUC